CCACAUAACCAAUAGAUAUCACCGAUUGUCUUUGUGUGAUUCAUUAGCAGUGAUACAGGUGGACUAUGGUAAGUUGAGCAGUAUCCUGAUGGGAAUUUGCCCAGAUACAAACCAGUGUUCUUAGGUAUUGAAUAGCAUGUGUAAUUACCUGGGUAGAUGGUGACUCCAUCAGGUGGUUUCACAUGUCCAUGGGUGAUUGGGUAAACCUUCUUCCAGGAUUCACAUGUUGAGGAGUUAGUGAUAGAUUGUGCAUACAAACUCAGUACACAUGAUUCUAUUUCGGGGGGUAAACUUAGAGGUACUGUGCCCAGAUGGGGUCUGGCACCUCCACAUACAUAACAAUUAGUCUUAUUGUGUGAGUUAGCGUUGUACCUCAUCCAUUCUAGCCACAAAUUAGUGUCUGAAAACCCUGUUUCUACUGCCAUGGUAUCUUCAAAGGUGGGGUUAGCUAUGGCCACCAUGUCAUGUAGGGUCUUGAUAUGUGGUUUCAAUGGGUUAAUGACCAUAUGUGUAGUUCCCACCCAGUCAGAAGAAUUUAGCAUAUCUUGCAGGUAAAAGGUCCCCAAUGCGUUAUGUGAGCCGCCUCCCUUCCAGUACAUUCCCAUCACAUACUCCCCUGCAUCCCUUGGACUAGGGUGUUCUAUAUUCAAGGUGAGUUUAAU